rnacentral:lncRNA from 1 species
UCUCCAGAUGUGUCGACCAGUCACUAGUACUGUAACCAAUCCUAUCCAAACCUAUGGAACACUACAUUCUCAAAUAUAGAUCUUUAAGUUUUUACUAUUGGAUCUCAUCCAACGAUUAAAAAUAAAAGUAUCUGUCAUUUUUCUUGACAAAAAAUACUCUCAAUAUCUAUUAUCUCCUAUCUACGCAUUUUAUAAAUAUCUACGUAUUUUCUCAAACGUAAUUUCCCCCACAACUUAAAAUAUCCGUUAUAUCCUAUCUAUACUGUUUCUUAAAUAUUUUGUUUCUCACACGUAAUAGCUCCAAUUACAUAAUAAAUAAAAUUAAAUUUAUCCUAUCUACACAUUUUCUCAAACGCGUCACAUAAUGAAUAAAAUUAAAUUUAUCCUAUCUACACGUUUUCUCAAACGCGCCAUAAAUUAAAAUAUCCGUUAUCUCCUAUUUACGUGUUUCUCAAAUAUUUUCUUUAUCAUACGUAAUACCUACGUCAAUCACGUAAAAUAUUAUUAAAAAGAUUUAAUACCCACCUAAGGAAAACUAAAUUGUUAAUUAAAUAUAAUUUUUCAAUUUUGAAUUUUUCAAGUAAAAUAUUCAAAAUUAAUACCCGCCAAAGUAUUUUACGUGUUUCUCAAAUAUAGAACAUAUCUUAAUGCAGUCGCAUAUAAUAUCUAUAUAUCUUUGCAUAUAAUAUCUACAUUAUCCAAUCUUACGUCAUUAUAAUAUUUAUUCACACACAGAAUAUAUUUUUUUUUAGACAUAUAUUCUUUUAGUAAUAUCUUUUUUAUUUUCACCUAUAUUUUUCUCAAAUAUUUUUUUUAGUAAUCUCAUAUGUUCCUAUCGCUAGCACCAGUACAUCGUAGCACAUCAUCAUCGUCGACACCAGCACAUUGUCACUUUCGCCACCUUCGUCAUAUUUGGAGAGGUAUUCUUAUCCCACCUAAAAAUAUUUUAUUUUUUAAUGUUCAUUUUUGCAUUAUUUUAAAUAAAAAUUGCACUCUUUGAGGCAAAAAUUAUACUUUUUGGGAUCAGAUUUACACUCUUUAGCACAAAGUGCACUUUUUGGGUAAAAUUACACCAUUUUCCUUUUUCUUCUUCUACCUCCAAUUUACACCAUUUUUCUUUCUCUUUCUCUUCUUCCUUCUCCUGCUUCCCCUCCACUUUUUCCCUCCACGUCAUGCCCAUCGACCUCUCGCUCCUCUCCUCCUCCCCCGCCACCGCCGCCACCGCC